rnacentral:rRNA from 1 species
AAUUUUCGACAAUGGGGGAAACCCUGAUCCAGCCAUGUCGCGUGUAUGAUGAAUGCCUUCGGGUUGUAAAGUACUUUUGGCAGAAAAGAAAAGGUACCUCCUAAUACGAGGUACUGCUGACGUUAGCUGCAGAAUAAGCACCGGCUAACUACGUGCCAGCCGCCGCGGUAAUACGUAGGGUGCAAGCGUUAAUCGGAAUUACUGGGCGUAAAGCGUGUGUAGGCGGUUCGGAAAGAAAGAUGUGACAUCCCAGGGCUCAACCUUGGAACUGCAUUUUUAACUGCCGAGCUAGAGUAUGUCAGAGGGGGGUAGAAUUCCACGUGUAGCAGUGAAAUGCGUAGAUAUGUGGAGGAAUACCGAUGGCGAAGGCAGCCCCCUGGGAUAAUACUGACGCUCAGACACGAAAGCGUGGGGAGCAAACAG